AACGAACGCUGGCGGCAUGCCUAACACAUGCAAGUCGAACGAGACCUUCGGGUCUAGUGGCGCACGGGUGCGUAACGCGUGGGAACCUGCCCUUAGGUUCGGAAUAACUCCCCGAAAGGGGUGCUAAUACCGGAUAAUGUCUUCGGACCAAAGAUUUAUCGCCUUUGGAUGGGCCCGCGUUGGAUUAGCCAGUUGGUAGGGUAAAAGCCUACCAAGGCGACGAUCCAUAGCUGGUCUGAGAGGAUGAUCAGCCACACUGGGACUGAGACACGGCCCAGACUCCUGCGGGAUGCAGCAGUGGGGAAUAUUGGACAACGGGCGGAAGGCUGAACCAGCAAUGCCGCGAGAGUGAUGAAGGCCUUAGGGUUGUAAAGCUCUUUUACCCGGGAUGAUAAUGACGGUACCGGGAGAAUAAGCUCCGGCUAACUCCGUG
rnacentral:rRNA from 1 species